rnacentral:rRNA from 1 species
CAGAGGGGGCAAGCGUUGUUCGGAAUUACUGGGCGUAAAGGGCGCGUAGGCGGCCUGCUAAGUCGAACGUGAAAUCCCCGGGCUCAACCCGGGAACUGCGUCCGAUACUGGCAGGCUUGAAUCCGGGAGAGGGAUGUGGAAUUCCAGGUGUAGCGGUGAAAUGCGUAGAUAUCUGGAGGAACACCGGUGGCGAAGGCGGCAUCCUGGACCGGUAUUGACGCUGAUGCGCGAAAGCCAGGGGAGCAAACGGGAUUAGAUACCCCGGUAGUCCUGGCCCUAAACGAUGAAUGCUUGGUGUGGCGGGUAUCGAUCCCUGCCGUGCCGAAGCUAACGCAUUAAGCAUUCCGCCUGGGGAGUACGGUCGCAAGGCUG